rnacentral:lncRNA from 1 species
GAAAGAGAUGCAGAAAGAGAAGGGCGAACAGCGCAAUGGGCCAAGGAGAGCAGAGGAGAGGUCGGUCCCUUGGCGAAAGCAUCCUCCCAAGGACAAGGUCUCCUGGAAGACUGCAAAGGAGAAGAAGGUGGCAUAACCGAGGACCCAAGGCCAGCGUGGGUCGGGCUCCACGCACUGGUUUGGUAUUGCACGUGGGGACAAGGAAACCAAAUAUGCUGAGAGUCAGAGGAGGAAGGUCCAAGAUCCAUCUGGAAGAAUAUUUCCCAAAGUGGGUCUCUGGAGCUCAUAUAAAGAGAUGCUGCUUGGAGAAAGGGAGUCAUGGCCAAGCAAGUUUAAGCAAAAGUAGGUAAACAGAGUCACAACAGGGUGCUCUAUGCAGGACUCAGCUAACUGGCCCUUUCCACGAGGGGCAAUAGCAUUCGGCAUUUCACAUGGUUUGGGGUUGCUGUUAACCACAAAACCUUUUUCCUUCCUUACAUAUUUUUGGUUUUGAAGCAUUCUGAAGUCCAGUUUUCUUGGGAAGGUGUGCUUUGGUCCUCUCUCCCAGUUAAACGGGCAGCUUCCUGGAAGUGGACUCUAUAUUCACUGUUUCCUUUGCAUUUUCAACACUUUCAGAUUAUUCCCUAAGGCAGGAUGCCAAUCACAGUGCCUGCUCCUUCAUGGUCUGGAAGAACCAAGCACAGAGGUGGAGGUGGGAGGUGCCCAGGUGGAUUCAGACCUUCCUGGGAUUGACCCAUUAGAAGGGUGUGGACCAACUGACUCAGGCCUGGGAGAGGAGGCCACCCACCUCCUCAGGCCUGGUGCUCCUUCUGCCUCCUUCUGGCUACUGGUGAAAGGGCUGCCUAGAGGCCACAGGCAAAUCUAUGAUGGAUUCAGCCCUCUUCACCACUUGAGACUGGCAAAGGAUUUGGAGUUUUUCUUUUAUUUCAGGCAGGCAGUGGGGCUGGGUAUUUUGGGUGGCAACUGAGAGCAGAUGGACUGGGUAUAGAGAGCACAGUAAAUACUGGCCAUGACAGCUACCUCCAAGGAAGAGCAUGGUGGUGACAGGAAGGAGCCUGGAGCCUGGCAGACUCCUUAGAGCAGAGUCCUGAGCCUAGAGAUGCACCACUGCCUUCCUCUAGGCCCAGUUCCUUCACUUUCUGGGACUCACUGCCGUAGUGAAUCCUACAUGCUUCAGAUAUGGUCUAUGACUUCAGGAAUUUACUAACAAGACACGUCAGUGCAACAGACUUGCAAGUGCCCAGUGGGCGGUGUGCAGAGUCAGCAGGGACCCUGGCUCCAGCUAAAGGAUACGUGAACUGCACCCACUUUACUCAGCACCAUCCCUAGGACCUAACACAGAACACCUGCCUGCUGCUUGCUGUUUGUUUGUGUCUGUAAAGCCACAAGGGAAAGGAAGGAAGAAAGUAAGUGUUGGGAAAGCAUAACCUGAUACAAUCUAAACAGGGCCUUUGGUGGAUCAGACAAAACAAACAAAACAAACAACAACACUCCAUAUGUUUUCUCCAAAUAUAGUAAACCCUACAUCAGAAUCAUAGCUGAACUCUGAGUCCAGUUUUAUGGAGACUAAAAUGCCCUUAUACAGAAAGGGUAGCUACAGAUUACUGUUAUGCCAGGAUUGGCUGCUCCAUUUCAAUGAAUGCUGACCACACUGGAUGACUGGAGGUCAGAGCUUCCUGCCCCAAGACCCCAGUUGAGCCCCCUGGCUCUCGAGUGGUUCUGGUCAGCUCCAUGUUUGAUCACUUUGACUUCACCAUUCUAUUGCCCUGAGCCAAUCCCAUCAUUUGAUCAUCCUGACUUUGUCAUGUAAUCCCCUUUCAGCCAGUGGGUCAAAGUUAACUGGACCAUAAGGAAUGAUUUGUUCUCAACUUGGCAAGCUGCUCUCGGCUGAAAAAAAAUUGACAAAGAAGGCAGGAGGUUCAUAUAACUUCAUGGGGAAAGAGAAGACAAACAAAAAGCUAAGCUGAAGUUCCUUAUUCCAUGGCCAAAAGAAGAAGAAGAAAGUCAGAUAUGUUCAGGGUGCUAAGAUUCAAUACGGGGAAGAACCAGCUAAAGGGAAAGAGAAAGGACAGAGCUUGGUAGUCUGACGGCAUAGGUCAUUACCAUGCAAAUACUCUACUAAAUUGCCCAGAUUAAAAUACGAAUUGUGAGAUACUCUCCUCCAAUAUUCACCCUGCUCAGUUCUGGAGCAUGAGAGGAAGAACAAAGAAAGAUGAACAAAGAAAGAUGUCUAAAUAUUCACAUGGUUUCUCCUCUUGAUUUAAGUCAAGAUACUAUUUGCCUGCAUGUUUUUAAAGGGUAGGUUUGGGACCCUCUGUCAUGCUUUGUCAUUGGAAGAAUUAGCUCCACCUUACACUGGGAAGUCUGCUCUGAACUGACGAAGAGUUUGCACUCAGUGUCUUGGGAGAAAUUCAAAUAUUCCUGGCACUGGCACUAUGUGGCAUUUAGUGCAGUUGGGUGGCCAACAUGCUUGGGAGACACCAUUCACAGGUCUGUCCUGCUCUGGAGACUGAAUACAACUGAGGGUAGCCAAGCUUCUUUGGGGUCUUCCGUGUCUGGGGUUGCAAGAGUCACAGGCCCAGGUCUCAGGGAGGCAGUGAGUGGCUGUCUGGCUGUCAGCCCAGCAAAGAAGAAUCCUUUUUACAGUGCUCUAGGCCAAGCCAUUUCCCAUGAUGUCUACAGAUCUGUCACCUUGGCUCUGAACCAAGUGGGGACUCACCUCGUGGAGGAAGUCUAGGGGGAGGAGAAAAUGGGGAGGGGACCGCAGGGUCACUUCAGGGCAGGCAAGAAGAGGCUGGCAGGGAAUGGCACUGCUGGAGUUACCUGAAGUGACAGCCACUCAGAUAAAACUGAAAGAUGAUAAGUUAAAAAGAAACCGGAGCUCCCGGGAAGCCUGAGUAUUCUCUCAGUGGAAGCAGAACUCCCUGGAAGUCAGCCACGAGGCUGACCUCACCCCCGCGGCCCGAUCCGAGCAAGCAUGCAGCUUAUCGUGAGAGCCAGGGCAAGACUGUAUCCACCACGGCCAGGACAGUAAAGAGACUGAUGGCGUUAACUCUCGGAAGUGCCACUUUUGAAGAGAAUGUGUCACUAAUUAAGUCUCAGGUCAAACACUAAACAAAAUAAAAUACAAUUUGUGCGAAUG